GUCCUUCUGCCUUCUGCCAUGGGAUGACACAGCAAGAAGCCCCUUGCCAGAUGUGGGCCUCUCGACCUUGGACUUCUUAGCUUCCAGAACUAGGAGCCAUUGAAGAAUACUGUUGUCCUAUCCCAGAAGGAGCAAGCGGACAACACUGAUAUCCUGACCACUAACCAUCCAGCACCACUUAAAGCCACACUCUCCUCUUUGGUCUUUCCUGGUACGCAGCAUACAAGCCCACAGAUUGAGGACUCUGCACUUGCUGUUCUCUCUGCCUGGAGCUCUAUGGCUCCAGAUAGACUCCUGCCAACUCCUUCGCCUUGUCCAAGUUACCUUCAUUAAAUGUCAGCUUAAAUGUGUGCCUACUUUUUGCCCUACCUAGAAUUGCAAGCACCUCUCACCACUGUGCUCCCAUUCUCCUUAACUUAAGCCACUUUUAUUCUCAUAAUAAAGCCACAUAUUUUUUCUUAUUAUAUCAUAAUCGUACUGUAUAAUUUAUAUUUUAUUACUUUUGUUUGUAUACUUAUUGUAUGUUUCUGUUCACAAGGAUGUAAACCCCAUGAACACAGAGAUCUUUGAUUGUUUUAUUCACUGAUUUAUGCCAAAUGUUUGGAACAAUGCCUGGCACAUAGUAGAUGUUUGAUAAUUUUUUUUUUUUCUGAAUGAAUAAAUACAUUUUAGCCAAAUAUGCUGA
rnacentral:lncRNA from 10 species